CACGGGGGGAGCAAGCGUUGUUCGGAAUCACUGGGCGUAAAGGGCGUGUAGGCGGUCGGAUAAGUGAGAUGUGAAAUGCCCCGGCUCACCCGGGGACCUGCAUCUCAAACUGUCUGGCUAGAGUAUGGGAGAGGAUGAGGGAAUUCCUGGUGUAGCGGUGAAAUGCGUAGAUAUCAGGAGGAACACCGGUGGCGAAAGCGCUCAUCUGGCCCAAUACUGACGCUGAGGCGCGAAAGCUAGGGGAGCAAACGGG
rnacentral:rRNA from 1 species